rnacentral:rRNA from 1 species
GGAAGGAUCAUUAAAGAAUCGCCCCGUUUUUUGAAAUGGGUUCUAUUCCCAAACCGUGUAUACAUACCUUUGUUGCUUUGGCAGGCCGCCUUCUAGGCGUCGGCUCCGGCUGACUGCGCCUGCCAGAGGACCCAAACUCUUUUGUUUAGUGAUGUCUGAGUACUAUAUAAUAGUUAAAACUUUCAACAACGGAUCUCUUGGUUCUGGCAUCGAUGAAGAACGCAGCGAAAUGCGAUAAGUAAUGUGAAUUGCAGAAUUCAGUGAAUCAUCGAAUCUUUGAACGCACAUUGCGCCCCUUGGUAUUCCGAGGGGCAUGCCUGUUCGAGCGUCAUUAUAACCAUUCAAGCCUCGGCUUGGUCUUGGGGUUCGCGGUUUCNCGGCCCUUAAAUUCAGUGGCGGUGCCGUCUGGCUCUAAGCGUANUAAUUCUCUCGCUAUAGGGUCCAGGUGACCACCUGCCAGAACCCCCCAUUCUUUACGGUUGACCUCGGAUCAGGUAGGG